UACGGGGGGGGCAAGCGUUGUUCGGAAUUACUGGGCGUAAAGGGCUCGUAGGUGGCCAACUAAGUCAGACGUGAAAUCCCUCAGCUUAACCGGGGAACUGCGUCUGAUACUGGAUGGCUUGAGUUUGGGAGAGGGAUGCGGAAUUCCAGGUGUAGCGGUGAAAUGCGUAGAUAUCGAGAGGAACACCUGCGGCGAAGGCGGGUUGCUGGGCUGAUACUGACGCUGAGGCGCGAAAGCUAGGGGAGCGAACGGG
rnacentral:rRNA from 1 species